AAUGAGACCUGUGUGCCAACCCUGGCCUAGUCCUCAUGCCCCCACAACUGUGAAGCGAGAGGGCUCAACAGUUUCGAAUUCAAUUCAACCACCACCUCCUGAAUACCAACUAGGUUCCAGGACCUGGCUAGAAGCAGAGACACCAGGACAGAAAAGAUAGUGUUCUGCCUUCAUGGAGUUCACAGAAGAGUCGAGGAGACACAGCUGGAUCCUCCCUGUUUACCCCAGUGGAUGCUAAAUGCUUUGGUGAAGAGGAGACAUCCCUGCACAAAGCAGAGCUGUGGAUUCUCUGACCUCCUUGAAGACUCUCUUCUGAGCUGCAGUGGACAUUUGCCAUAUUUUUAUUAAUGGGUGUCUGUCAUCAAAUAUCCCUCUGUAAGGGUUGGUCACUGUUGUGGCUUCUCUCGAUGUGAGGUCGGACUCACCUUCCAUAUCAAAAGUGGACAAAAUCACACUCACACUCUCUUUUUCACACAUAAACACACAACCCUGGCACAAUCUGAGGGUCAGUAACUGACUUUGGCUCAGCCCACCAAGUGGUCUUUCCCUGAAGUGUGAAUCUCAGGGAAGCAAUACAAAAACAGGCAGGGGGUGGGUGGCUACCUCUGGAGACAGCUGGAGGUCGUCCUUUCAAAAGCAGGCUGGCGGGCACGCUGACCAAACUACUCCUGCCAAGGAGCCAUUGCUGUGGUUCCUUUGGACUGGCCUUCUGACUCUCCCCUAAUUUCUACUCAUUUCUAAGGUUAAUUCUCUUUACUCUCCAACCACUCCAAUACAUUUCCUUCCAUUUAUGUUCUCUAGAGUCUGUUUUCAUUGCUGACACCUAAGAUGGUGCAUAAUUAUAAGCCAGUGUGAUUUCAUUUCCUAUCAGAAGCCUUCGAAAAAAAUGGCUCUCAAGCAGUAUCUCAGACACCCAAAUCCAAGGCUUUACUUUGGUGGCCAUGGAAAGACACCUGAAUGGGUGGGCGUGGGAAUAGGGUAAGAGAAGUAGAAAAGAGGAAGGGAAAAGAGAAAGUACUGCAUAUUUCAUACCUACUAUAGUCUAGGACUGAGGAUACAGCAAUGAUCAACAUAGGCAGAGGCUCUAACAGAUGCCAGGAGCCAGCUAGGCAUUUGUCCGGCUAUCUUAUGAUAAUAUUAUAGGGAGGGAGGUGCUCCCAUACCCCAAGUGGGAAGAGUGCGGCUCAGUGAGGCUGAGAAACUUGCCCUGGGUCACACAGCAGAUGACUAUUGGAGCUGGAAUCUGAACCACAUCUCAUUCCUACCAUAUCUGCUGUUUCCACUACAUAAAUUUGUUAAACAAUGGUGGGUAAACCAUGCACCUUUUUUUCUUUUCGUAUUUUGAUUUCAGUGUUGUAUCCAUGAUUUGGAAUGAGCCCACCUGAGCCUAAUGAUGCGACGAGAUCAUUGGAUUAUAUAUGUAUUUACUUUAAAAACACAAGGUAGAAAACUUUACUGAGUCCAUGAAAAGAAAAGCUGGAGGCACGUCAAAGCCUGUUUUGAUUUAAGUGGAAUAGAUCCAGCUUGAGUGUAAAUUCGAGACUGUGUUUGCUUGUGUCACACUCUAUUUUCAAAUUACUUUCAUAUGUCCUGUUUCAUUUAUUUCCCCCAGUUCUGGAUGGGAAAACUGAGGCCUGGGACUUGAAAUAACAGAUGUAUGUUUGUACAGCAAAUUAUCAUGAGAGCCAAAACUCAAACCCAUACUCUCUCACCGAACCCCACUGCUUCUUUCAGCACACAAUAAUUAUUAUUAUGCCAAGUAAGUUUAACAAGGUGACUUGGAUCGAUUCAUUCUGAUGAUUUGAGUUGGCUCCUGGGAUCAUCUGUGUAAAUAUUAGGCCCACAUCUCUUUCCAAACAUAUUCCAUCUCUCUCUCUCUUUGGUUUUUUUCUUUUUUCUACAUUUUCACCUCUGCUCCCUCAUCAUACCUCCCUCCCUUUCUCUGUUAAACUCCUCCCCUUCUCUUCUUUCCUCCCUUCCUCUCAUCCUCUCACCCACAAAAACAUUUGUUUGUCUUACAUAGGGAUAGUGUCAUGUGACUGGGUGGCUGAAAGGAGAAGUAUCUUUUAAGCUCCUGGAAGCAGAAUAUUUUCUUAUGGAUUUUUUAUUGUUUGGAUUGUUUUGCCAGGCUAAUGAAAGAAGACUCUGAGGUCCCCUUAUCUCAGGCCAACUAGAGGAUGCCUUCAAGUUUUUGUUUUUCUUCCCAAGCUGGUUCCUUACAAAUGCAUCCAGAAGGUCAUUCCCAGGUCCCCAAGAUAGUGGUGGGUAAUCAAUCACAUCCAGGACAUCAGCAUCACAGCAGAUAAGCUCAUGCAUGGGAGGAUUUGGGAAAGGAGAGAGGGGAGCCUAAACUAUCCCUGAACCAUGUGCUCCAGCAAAGGCAAGUGGAGGGAUUACUUUUUCUAGGAGUUCACUGGGACAGCCACAAGUAUAUUCUAGCUCCAAUGACCAUUCUUCCCUUUUGAUUUUUGACUCAAAACAAAUAAAAAUACACAUACAUAAAAUCCUUAAACAUUUCCUAUAUAAUCUGAUAAUUGCAAUUCAGCAAGCAAUAAAGAUUGUGUGAUUGUGUUUAACAGCUCCAAGGGCUGGGUCCACACAGGGCCCCCAGGCAAUAACUAAUCCCUCUGAAACAAACAGAGAGGACUCCAGACCUGGCUUUGCCAAGGACAAGUUUUGUAAGCCUAUUUAAGUCACCUGACUUCUCUAGGCCUCAGAUUCCUCAGCUAUAAAAUAAUGAGCUAGUUUAUUAUUUCAACCAAUGCUUAUUAAACAUCCACUUUGUGUCAGGCUUUGUGCAAGAAGCUGGAAAUAUUUUUAAAGUAUAGACACAGUAUCUGUUCUCAGGGUCUCAGUGUUUAAUGCGGGAAAAGAUGCAUCAUAAGAGAAAAGUGCUGUGGACGGGCAAAGGCAAAAACAACUCAGCCCAGGAGCUUAUCUUUAGGAUUCUUCCCAACCCCAAAAGUCUACGUGUAUGGCAUUUUUUUGUCUGUUCAUUUUGUUUUGGUUGUCUUUUCACAUGAAUGUUAUUUCAUUCUUUCUUGACUAGUUGUUUUCAAACCAUUGUUGCAUUGUUGUCAUUAUCAACCAUUACCAAUUACUAAACACAUACUGUUACCCCAAAUAUUGUAAUUACCCCAACUGUUGGUAAUUACCCCAACGACUCUAAAAGUUAGACAUUAUAAUCACUAUUUUUUAUAUAAUAACACUGAAGCCCAGAGAGUUUAAGUAACUUACCCAAGUUCACAUCGCUAGAAAGUUACGGAACUGGGAUUGGAGUUGACCCCUGUCAACUCCAAAGUACAUGCUCUUUCUACUACUUGGUGUUGCCUUAGGUAUAUGUAGCCACUUAGGACAAACAUCAUUUACAGGAGCAGGUGUGAAAUAAAAAUAUGAGGCCCUUUGUUCAAAUAUUAUUGAAAAUUUCAAGAUAGCAACAGCAAAGCAUUAAACAAAGCACAAGGCCUGUCUAAGCACAGAGCUCUGAAUGACUGCCCAUGUUGCAAACCCAGGAAUCCAGCCCUGCCAGCCACAAUUCAGUUUGCAAUGGCAUCUCCCAUGGAAGCAGAAAAGCUUCAUAGCAAUUUGCAGGCCCAGAUCACACUCGCAGAAUGUUUCAGUGAUCAUGCUUCACAUGUAGGAUUUCUGGCAUUACCCAGAGGGUUCAUUGUGAACCACCUGGCAGGACUUGGGGGCUCUGUGUGGUAGCUUUUUCAGAGUAGCCCUGGCACCUAACCUAAAGAAUAUUAAUAUCAUUUCUGGUAAUGCCAAUUACUUUUAUUUAUUUUUUUUUAGAUGGAGUUUUGCUCUUGUUGCCAGGCUAGAGUGCAAUGGCACAAUCUCAGCUCACCACAACCUCCGCCUCCCAGGUUCAAGUGAUUCUCCUGCCUCAGCCUCCAGAGUAGCUGGGAUUACAGGCAUGUGCCACCACACCUGGCUAAUUUUGUAUUUUUAGUAGAGACAAGGUUUCUCCACAUUGGUCAGGCUGGUCUCGAACUCCUGACCUCAGGUGAUCCGACCACCUCGACCUCCCAAAGUGCUGGGAUUACGGGCGUGAACCACUGCGCCCGGCCAGCCAAUUACUUUUUUUAAUGUGGGGAAAGGUAUAUAAUCUUGCUGAAAGAGUUUUGCUCCGUGCGAUGGCUCAUACCUGUAAUCCCAGUAUUUUGGGAGGCUGAGGCAGGAGGAUGGCUUGAGCCCAAGAGUUUGAGACCAGCCUGGGAAACAGAGACCCCUGUCUCUACAAAAAAUACAAAAAAUUAGCCAGGCAUGGUGGUAUGUACCUGUAGUAGGAGGCUGAGCUGGGAGGAUCACUUGAGCCUGGGAGGUUGAGGCCACAGUAAGCCAUGAUCAUGCCACUGCACUCCAGCCUGAGUGACAGAGUAAAGAAAAAAAAAGAGUUCUGGUCAUACCCUCACACCCUUACUCUUACAUUUAGAACAUUUAGAACAUUAAUGCUGCAUAAAUGGAACAUGUCCAAAAGCCUCUUAGGAUGCAAGCCUCUUUUGAAAUUGCAAACUGGGACCAGUACGUGUGCCCUAAUAGAGGGCAGUAGGAAAAAAAGCAACAAGAGCUUUGCAGCUGCUGGAUUACGAACCUCUCUACUGAGGCACUAACUCCUAUUAAGGUGUUAGCUCCUACUGACCCAGCAGAGGCUGAGUAAAGAUUGUCAAUUUGGUCAAUGAUUCUUAAUCAGUGGUAUUUAAUCUUUUGAGAUCACAGACCCCUUCUUUGAAAAGUAUGAACCGUCUCCCCAGAAAAAAGACAGGUGUAUGUAAAAUAUUCUUGCAUUCAAUUGUAGACUCUCUGCCUUAGCCCUAGAUUUUUUAAACCCGUAUUUUAAAGCAUGGCUCCCCUAAUUAUAGAAUUGUCAGAGGCGUCUGAACCAGAGCAACUCCAUCUUGAGUAGGGGCUGGGUAAAAUAAGGCUGAGACCUACUGGGCUGCAUUCCCAGACGGUUAGGCAUUCUAAGUCACAGGAUGAGAUAGGAGGUCAGCCAAGAUACAGGUCAUCAAGACCUUGCUGAUAAAAUAGGUUGCAGUAAAGAAGCCAGCUGAAACCCACCAAAACCAAGAUGGCCAUGAGAGUGACCUCUGGUUGUCCUCACUGCUACACUCCCACCAGCACCAUGACAGUUUACAAAUGCCAUGGCAAUGUCAGGAAGUUACCCUAUAUGGUCUAAAAGGGGAGGCAUGAAUAAUCCACCCCUUGUUUAGCAUAUAAUCAAGAAAUAACCAUAAAAAUAGGCAACCAGAAGCCUUCUGUCAGUGGAGUAGCCAUUCCUUUAUUCCUUUACUUUCUUAAUAAACUUGCUUUCACUUUA
rnacentral:sRNA from 1 species